rnacentral:lncRNA from 1 species
GAAAAGGGAAAAAGUACGAACAGAACCCAAAAGUAAUAAGUUUUCAAAUCAAAACUAAUAAAAUGUCAGAGAUUACAAGUAAGGGGGUUGGUUACACAUAGGAAAGGUAUUAGCAUCCAAAGUGUCCUAGGUACUCCUAGGGAGCCCUUUUUGUGUGCAAGUGUUUUGGCCUAAAUGAUGAUUGAUAAAAAUGUGGGGAUGAGAAAAUAAUUCAUUAAUUAUAUUUUUG